rnacentral:tRNA from 1 species
GCGGCGGCAGGCCGCUCGGCGGCCGCCGGAUCGGUGCCGGCCGGCGGGGUCGGGCCGCCGGUGGGUGUGAUCGGCUCGCGACCGUCGCUC